GAAAAAUGGUGGGACGAGAGGAGAGGUCGCUUUUGGGUGAACUCACGAUAUAGGUAAUAUGGUGGUCAUAGUCAAAUCGGUAACGUGGUGUAGCCUUUGAAGUCAGCGACAAACCACGAGCAAGGUCUGUUUCAACGUCAGGCCUACGCCUAUCCAUAUUUAGACUUCUCGAUUCUCCACCAUUCUCUUUUAAUUCACGCAAAGUGUUCAUUCU
rnacentral:misc_RNA from 1 species